CCUACGGGUGGCAGCAGUGGGGGAUAUUGCACAAUGGGGGAAACCCUGAUGCAGCGACGCCGCGUGUGGGAAGACGGUCUUCUGGAUUGUAAACCACUGUCCCCAGGGACGAAAAUGACGGUACCUGGGGAGGAAGCUCCGGCUAACUACGUGCCAGCAGCCGCGGUAAUACGUAGGGAGCAAGCGUUGUCCGGAAUUACUGGGUGUAAAGGGAGCGUAGGCGGGGAUGCAAGUUGGGUGUCAAAACUACCGGCUCAACCGAUAGUCGCACUCAAAACUGCAGCUCUUGAGUGAAGUAGAGGCAGGCGGAAUGCCUGGUGUAGCGGUGAAAUGCGUAGAUAUUAGGAGGAACACCAGUGGCGAAGGCGGCCUGCUGGGCUUUUACUGACGCUGAGGCUCGAAAGUGUGGGGAGCAAACAGGAUUAGAUACCCUUGUAGUC
rnacentral:rRNA from 1 species